rnacentral:tRNA from 1 species
GGGGCCUUAGCUCAGCUGGGAGAGCACCUGCUUUGCAAGCAGGGGGUCAUCGGUUCGAUCCCGAUACGCUCCACCA